CCCAGUUAUGCUAGCUAGCUCUCGCCCCCCACCCACCUUCAACCUCGCCCACUCCGCCUCCUGGAGAAGAAACUCCUGAAACCACCAUGGAAGAUCAACAUCAUGUGAAUUCUCUGGCGGGGGAAAGGCCACAAUCCUUUUUUGAUGCUAGCCAUUCUACAUCAUCCGCAAGGGAGGAUAAUCUUGAUAUCUCUCGUGGAGAGGUGUCAAUGGCUAGUCUUCCCAGGUUGAUGGUGUAAAUGGGGUCCCAAAGAGUGGAUCAUCCUCUCCUGAUGGGAAUGAUGCUGAUGCUCUGGGAAGUCUCGCAACUCCUACAAAGCUUCAUGAAUGUGAUCAUGUGGAAUUGUAGAGCAUGCAGUCGGUCAACAAUGGUUGCUGUUCACACUUCCGUCUGAAGGGUUGUCUGGAGGUAUCAUUGUCUUAUGGAAGAAAGGUAUCGACCAUUUUGAUUUUUCCAGCAACAACAAUCAGGUGGCUAUUGGAAUCAUCAAUGUUAUUGGCAUUCAGCCAUAGGUGAUCGUUGUGAUCUAUGCGUGCACCUGCUAUAGAAGGAGAAGAGAAGUUUGGGAUCUGAUCAUGGCUUGUAUUUCCAUGAGAUACUCUAUGCUGGCUAUUGGGGAUUUUAGUGUGAUUUCUUCCUCUAAUGAAAAAUUGGGUGGCAAGCACCUUACUGUAACAACUAAGAUCAAUGAAUUUCGAGAGUUUAUUCUGUCAAACUCUCUCGUGGAUUUGGGUUACUCUGGAUCCCCUUUCGCAUGGUGCGACAACAGAUAUGGUAGUGCUAGAAUUUCGGAGCGGUUGGAUAGAGGUUUGGCUACUGCUGACUGGGUUAGAGCCUUUUCUGAGUCUAACAUCACUCAUCUUCCACAAAUAGGAUUUGAUCAUCGCCCCCUUAUACUCAAGGUGCUCGCUAACCGGGAUUGCUAGAACCGUGUGCCCUUCAGAUUUCAUAAGUUUUGGCGAUCAGUUAAUGGGGUCAGGGAGGUUGUCCGACGAGCUUGGCGUGCUCCUCAAUGUGAGUCUGCUGGCAUUCGUAUUCUCCAGUUACUUCGAAAUACUCAUCAGGUUUUGCAAAAAUGGAACAAAGAAUAUAUUGGCAACUUAUUUGACACAGCUAAACAGCUGAAGGAUCAAAUACAAUGGCUACAGAAUGAAGACGGCUGGAGAAUGUACGUAUCCAGAGUAUCCUUUCGAGGAAAAUCGCUGAGCAUAGCCGGGUACUCAAACUCUAAAAAUUUAUUGGCGUCAAAAAUCUCGCAUCAGGUGGCUCAAUGAGGGUGAUCUCAAUACUGCCUUGUUCCAUCAGUCUACCGUUAUGCGUCGGAGGAAGAAUAGAAUCAAUUCUAUCAAUAAAUUAGAUGGAUAACCUACUACUGAUACCAAAGAAAUUACUAACACCAUAUACAAUUACUUCAAUAGCCACUGGAACAGUCAUCAGCAAUGUCCUCAUAUCGAGCUUCCCUCAAUCCAAACUAGAGUCAGCUUAAUUCAAAAUUAGGUCCUGCUGAGUCCGAUGAUGGAUGAUGAAAUCAUUGACGCCAUCUGGCAAAUGGAAUCCAAUCGGGCUCCUGGUCCUUCGGGGUUCUAACCAUUGUUCUUCAAAUACUUUUGGUCUAACAUCUGGAAUGAGGUUCUUGCAGCAAUUCAGGAGGUUUUCAGAUUGAGAAAAAUGCCUAGACAAUGAAAAAAUACUUAUAUCAUUCUUAUUCCUAAGAAAGAAAAUUCAAAGGAUGUUAAGGACUUCAGACCCAUCAACCUGUGUAAUUUUCUGUAUAAACUGGUGGCGAAGCUGCUGGUUAAUUGACUGAAGCCCCUUAUCCUUGCCCUUGUCUCUGUAGAACAGGGUGCUUUCGUGCCGGGCAGGAAUAUCUCGAAAAAUAUCAUGGUAGCUCAGGAGAUCUUCUAUUCCAUGAGUAAAGCGUUGCCCCACAACUCUCUCAUGAUUAUUAAGGCGGACAUGGAGAAGGCUUACGACAGGAUGUCUUGGCAAUUCAUUGAAGCGGUCUUGGCUCACUACGGUUUUCAUUCCACAUUUAUUCAACGGAUUAUGAGCUGUGUUACCCACUCUGGUUUCUCUAUUAUUAUCAAUGGAACUCCAACAGAUUGGUUCACAUCCUCAGAAUCUUGCCGAGUCUGGAGGCCUUCGUGUUUAUGAACCUAAAAAUGGUGGCCUCUCCAUCUCUCAUCUCAUGUUUGCUGAUGAUUUACUCCUGGUGGCUCGGGCGACUACUCGGAAUGCUCGAAUUCUCAAACAAACCUUAAUGAAAUACUGCAUUCAGUCUGGUUAGCAAUUCAAUAUUCAGAAAUCCCACAUUGGCUUCAGUGAAAAAAACAACAUCCGAACCAAGCAAUGAAUUAUGAUCAUCCUCUCCAUUCCUCCGUGUGAUGGUGAUUGGUAUUAUCUUGGAGUGCCCUUAUCUCCAUUCCUCCGUUCAACCCAUUGUUUGACCAUAUUCAUAAAAGGCUUGAUGCAUGGAAAUGGAAGCAUCUCUCACAAGCAGGCCACAUCACCCUUAUUCAUUCUGUUUUGAAUUCCACUUACAUUUACCUCCUUACAAGCACUCAAGUUCCAACGUCAGUUCUUUAUGAGAUUGAGAAGAUCGUUAAAAUCAUUUCUAUGGGGCCAUGAGCUGGGGACCAAAAAGCUGCAUUUGAUCUCUUGGAAUACCAUUUUUCCUCCCAAAAAUAAGGGUGGCCUGGGCAUUCAUUCACUUCGAAUUCGGCAACAGGCUUUAAUGAGUAAAGCUGCUGGGAGUUUGGUGGUCAACAAGAACUUUUUGCGGAGAAGAUUGGUCAUUGCAAAAUACCAUUUUGAAAAUUGGGACAGUGCUGGGACCAGGAGCAUCACCUCUGUGGCGGGCCAUUUGUGCAUCUGUCAAGUGGGUGCACUUUGAUUUUAAAUGGCACAUUGGAGACGGCACUAAUACAAACAUGCUGUCUGAUCCCUGGAUUGAUGAAAUACCACUGAAUAGGAGUGUUGUUCCAAUGAAUAGUGCUGCUUAUGAUGACUGGAAGGUGAAUCAACUCAUCACUAAUACUGGUACGUGGAAUGUGGAGGUUCUUAUAUUCCUUUUUCCUGAUGACAUGGUAUAAAAAAUCUUGUCCAUUCCUCUCCUCAAAAAUCGAUGCAUUAACAACUUGGUGUGGAAGCAUCAUUGUGGUUCCUCGAUUCGGGCCAAAGAGAUCUACAAUUAGAUUCUACUUUGCCGUUACAAUGACGGUCAGUUCCAGCUGGGUUGGGUCAUGAAGCUCCCCAUUGCCCCUCGGGUGAAAGUGUUUUGCUGGAAGCUCUGUGGGGGCUGUCUUCCUUGCAAAACAUUACUUACAGUAAGAAACAUACUUCAUCAAGACUAUAUCUAUGAGCUCUGUAUGAUGGCUGAUGAGAACCUGAAACACUGCCCGUACUCGUGCCCACGGAUUCAUCCAAUUUGGACGACCUUAAAUCGAUCACACCUUGCUCUGCAUCAUGUUACGUCAUUGACGAAUCUUAUUGAUCUGUUAGCUUCUGACAUGAUUUUCAAUCAGCAGAAAUUCAUAACCUGUUACACGCUGUGGUGCAUUUGGAACUCAAGGAAUAGCCAUCUAUUUCAAGAUUUGCAGCAUUCUCACUCUACCAUUUUGUCUUCAGCCCUCAGACAUGCUUCAAAAUAUGCGUUUGCAGCGAAUAGUGCUUUCUUGUCCAAUGAUUCAAAGCUCUGGGUCACGGUUCUGUCUGUUCUUGGAUACAUCGUCUGGGGUCAUUAUGGGAUAGUUCUAUAUGCAGCAUCCGGUACUUCCUCUGCUUCAUCUGUGCCCGAGGCU